rnacentral:lncRNA from 1 species
GUCAUAUUGGAGUGGGUGGAAAGUGAGAGGGAGGUGAGAAAAUGAAAUCAGUGGGUGAAGACAAAUUUUUCCAGAAGUUUGGCUAUGAAGGGUAGGAGAGGGACACAGGAGUAGUUGGGGAAAGAGAGUUUGAGUGAAACUUUCUUUGUAAGAUGAGAGCGAUGUGGGCAUGUUUAAAAGCUGAUGGGAGAGGUUGAAUAUACAAGAGGGGAAAACAUAGCUAGUAGUAUAAAUUAAUGAGAAGAUGGGAAAAGUCAGGGUUCAAAGCAUAGGUAGAUGGGUUGGUCUUUGAUACUCUCCUAUAUUUAACAUAGGCACGAAGAAAGAGAAAGCAGAUGAGAACUGGGUUUUGCUAAAUGGGUACAAGAAAAGACAGAGAGAGAAAUGAUUUUAUGGUACAGAAAAGAAUGUUGCUAAAACUAUGGCUCAUGGAAUCUAAGGUGAAGAUCAAAAAUUACGAAAGGAAUGGUUUGAUGGGUUGAGAGAUAUUACAAGUGCUGAUGGACAAGACUGACUCUAUCAACAUUUCUUUUGCACAUUCAGCCUGCUGCAAGCAAAUAGAUUCUUCUCACUGGAUUUGAAACAUAUAUGCAUCCAUUCCAUCUUAAAAUGAUCUCAUAAAUAUAGUUUAGCAAUGAGUCUGGAAUGAGAUACAUCAUUGUGGUAAAAAAGCAGGAGACUUGAUUACUGAUUUUGCAGGCAGAGAAGCUAUAGGUUGAUAGAGUGUGACCAUAGUUAUAGGUGAGUCAAGUGGAAGAAAGAGAACAUUUUAGAGGAAGGAGAAAUUCUUCAAAGACAAAGAAAUUAAAGAGUUUGGGUGAGACAAACUCCUUGAUGGGAACAUUGAUGUCACCAAGGAUAAGGACAUAACUUGGCAUGAAUGGGAUGGCUAUGAACAGGAAGUUGGUGGUGGAUGUCAACAUCGAGAGGGACAGUGGUCAUAGCUAAAUAGCAGAAGCUGCAAAGGGGCAAUUUUCUUCCUGGGGACCACCACUCUGAAAACUAGAACUCCAAACCUCAAUUUCUCCAGGGAUGCAUUUUUCUUUGCCCACAGGGAAAAAGCAUCACUGUGUAUCACUGAACUUGGCGAAGGAGGUAAACAACGUACACAUGAAUUCUUUGAAAUAAAUGAAAGAAUCUUACAAAAUACAGUAUAUAACCAUCUCAAAAUACCCAUGAGCGAUACAAUAUUAACUGUGACUCUAGGGACCCGGAUAGUUGAGAUUUCUAUGAAAUGGUAAAAGAUGCCUUCUAGCUUUGUGAAACAAUGAUUUAGGUUUUCCUUUUGGGUAUUGAAGAUGCAAGCAAAUUUUCUGUUAAGUGGC